AGAUUUUUCGCCAUCUAUUUUGGU
rnacentral:siRNA from 1 species